rnacentral:lncRNA from 1 species
CCCAACCCACAACAGUUCCAGCUGAGGACGACUAAGGAGCCGGGGUUGGAGGAAACCGAAAAUCAUGUUUCCUCUUGUUCAUCGCGGGUAUCAAUUGGAUUGGGGGAUUUCUGUUAGCCUGCGUUGGAGUAGGGUUUCUACCAGCAUCCGUCGUCUCUCUUCUAACAAGGCUUCCCACCGCUAUUCUCCUGCUAAUCCUAGGUGAGUUCUGAAUCUGAGAGAGUUUCCUCUUCUUUGAACUUGCUCCUCUUAGGAUAUUAGGGGAUCGUCUUUGGAUUCUUUUGUUGGAUCUGUUUGUUACCCUUCUUCUCUGUUUGUUUUGAAAUUCCGUGAGGGUCUCAUUCUCCUGUAUAUUUGCCUCUCCUUCUUUUGGACUCUGCAUCCUCUGUGAAUCAAGAUUUUCUUUUUCCUUUGCUUGUUCCGGACUCA